AGCGAACGCUGGCGGCAGGCCUAACACAUGCAAGUCGAACGAAGUCUUCGGACUUAGUGGCGGACGGGUGAGUAACACGUGGGAACGUGCCUUUAGGUUCGGAAUAACUCAGGGAAACUUGUGCUAAUACCGAAUGUGCCCUUCGGGGGAAAGAUUUAUCGCCUUUAGAGCGGCCCGCGUCUGAUUAGCUAGUUGGUGAGGUAAAGGCUCACCAAGGCGACGAUCAGUAGCUGGUCUGAGAGGAUGAUCAGCCACAUUGGGACUGAGACACGGCCCAAACUCCUACGGGAGGCAGCAGUGGGGAAUCUUGCGCAAUGGGCGAAAGCCUGACGCAGCCAUACCGCGUGAAUGAUGAAGGUCUUAGGAUUGUAAAAUUCUUUCACCGGGGACGAUAAUGACGGUACCCGGAGAAGAAGCCCCGGCUAACUUCGUGCCAGCAGCAGCGGUAACAC
rnacentral:rRNA from 1 species